rnacentral:rRNA from 1 species
UACGUAGGGUGCAAGCGUUAAUCGGAAUUACUGGGCGUAAAGCGUGCGCAGGCGGUUUUGUAAGACUGUCGUGAAAUCCCCGGGCUCAACCUGGGAAUGGCGAUGGUGACUGCAAGGCUAGAGUUUGGCAGAGGGGGGUAGAAUUCCGACGUGUAGCAGUGAAAUGCGUAGAUAUGUGGAGGAACACCGAUGGCGAAGGCAGCCCCCUGGGUCAAAACUGACGCUCAUGCACGAAAGCGUGGGGAGCAAACACGG